AACCUAAUCUUAUUCGGUUUAAGGGGCACCACUUUAGGCACCCAUAUGGAUUGGAUCCACUCCAUUUGGAGGUGCAAGCCUCAAGCCUUCCUCUUUUACCCAUUUGGCUUGGCACUAAACUUUUGAAAAGUAUCUUGUGAAGGGAAGAAAAACUGUUUCUCUUCGAAAGGCCCAAGUUGCAUCUAAAAAUUUUUCUAUUCAUCUACAUGAUUAAAGAUCAAAUCUUUAUCUGAUUAGCAAUGGAACCAAAGAUCAAAUCUCAAAUAAUCUGAUAUAAACCUUCGCAGAAGCCUAGAAGUGCAGACCCUCUAUUUUGCAUGCACGUC
rnacentral:lncRNA from 1 species